rnacentral:rRNA from 1 species
CAAUAGCGUAUAUUUAAGUUGCUGCAGUUAAAAAGCUCGUAGUUGGAUUUCGGGUGGGAAUGGCCGGUCCGCCGUUUCGGUGUGCACUUGCUACGCCCACCUUGCUGCCGGGGACGUGCUCUUGAGUUCACGCUCGGGACACGGAGUCGGCGAGGUUACUUUGAGUAGAUUAGAGUGUUCAAAGCAGGCCUACGCUCUGAAUACAUUAGCAUGGAAUAACACGAUAGGACUCUGGCCUAUCUUGUUGGUCUGUAGGACCGGAGUAAUGAUUAAGAGGGACAGUCGGGGGCAUUCGUAUUUCAUUGUCAGAGGUGAAAUUCUUGGAUUUAUGAAAGACGAACUACUGCGAAAGCAUUUGCCAAGGAUGUUUUCAUUAA